GAUUGGUAACAGACAAAGCCCAUAAAAAGCCUAAUGUUGUAUCUCAUGUUUCUAGAAAGGUCAUGGCUUAAAAUCUUCAGAGGUUUGGGAUGUAGAAGUUUCCAUGGCAGUUCCUAUAGGGUAUGGGGUUGAUAGUGUGGAAAUGGAGCUGAGUUUGGUUUCUCUGACUACUGGGAACCCCUCGUGUGCUCCCUGCUUGGUUACACUGCAGCAAACACACACAGUCCAAGGGGAGGGCCUCACUGUUCCCCGGGAUGCCUGUGCUAUUCCAGCUGAUCCAGGGUAAGAAUUCUAUUUCUUGCCAACUUUAGCUUUCACGACUUGUCUUGAAACCCUUGAACAAUCUGUAUACAGGUAAGUGGUUCAUGGCAUUUUUGCUUAGGCUGAGUGGACCAACCUAGGUGGUUUUUACUUGUGUUAACUUCCGAGCCUCUACAGAGUUGUAUGCAGACAGCUUUUAUUUCUAUGCAUUAAAACUGUUCAUUUA